AGGACUAACGCUGGCGGCGUGCCUAACACAUGCAAGUCGAACGAAGUAGCAAUACUUAGUGGCAGACGGGUGAGUAACACGUAGUCAACCUGCCCUUCAAUGGGGGAUAACUAGCCGAAAGGUUAGCUAAUACCGCAUACGAUCUCUGAGUGGCAUCACUCGGCGAUGAAAGGAGUAAUCCGUUGAAGGAGGGGACUGCGUCCCAUUAGUUAGUUGGUGGGGUAAUGGCCCUACCAAGACUCCGAUGGGUAGCUGGCUUGAGAGAGCGACCAGCCACACUGGAACUGAGACACGGUCCAGACUCCUACGGGAGGCAGCAGUGAGGAAUUUUCCGCAAUGGGGGAAACCCUGACGGAGCGACGCCGCGUGUGGGAAGAAGGCCUUCGGGUCGUAACCACUGUCGAGGGGGACGAGUAUUGACGGUACCCCGUGGAGGAAGCCCGGCUAACUACGCGCCAGCAGCCGC
rnacentral:rRNA from 1 species